rnacentral:rRNA from 1 species
CCUACGGGUGGCAGCAGUGAGGAAUAUUGGUCAAUGGCCGGAAGGCUGAACCAGCCAAGCCGCGUGAAGGACGAAGGUGCCAAGCAUUGUAAACUUCUUUUGUCAAGGGACAAAAUCAGGCUCGAGAGCCUGACCGAGGGUACUUGAAGAAAAAGCAUCGGCUAACUCCGUGCCAGCAGCCGCGGUAAUACGGAGGAUGCGAGCGUUAUCCGGAUUUAUUGGGUUUAAAGGGUGCGUAGGUUGUUUUUUAAGUCAGCGGUGAAAGUUUGUGGCUCAACCAUAAAAUUGCCGUUGAAACUGGAAGACUUGAGUGUGUUUGAGGUAGGCGGAAUGCGUGGUGUAGCGGUGAAAUGCAUAGAUAUCACGCAGAACUCCGAUUGCGAAGGCAGCUUACUAAGCCAUAACUGACACUGAAGCACGAAAGCGUGGGGAUCAAACAGGAUUAGAUACCCUUGUAGUC